UACGUAGGUGGCAAGCGUUGUCCGGAUUUAUUGGGCGUAAAGAGCGUGUAGGCGGCCAUGUAGGUCCGGUGUGAAAACUCGAGGCUUAACCUCGAGAUGUCAUCGGAAACCAUUUGGCUAGAGUCCGGAAGAGGAGAGUGGAAUUCCUGGUGUAGCGGUGAAAUGCGCAGAUAUCGGGAGGAACACCAACGGCGAAGGCAGCACUCUGGGCUGGAACUGACGCUGAGGAGCGAAAGCGUGGGUAGCAAACAGG
rnacentral:rRNA from 1 species